CCGAGCAGGCGCCCAGCGUGUACUUGUCCGUCUUUUCGCCACACAUCCUCUUCACCUCGUCGCUGUCCCAGCCGUCUGGGUAGAUCAUGCAGCCCAGGAUCAGACACGUACCUGGAUCAGGAGGAGGGAGACAUGGAUCGGUGGAGGCUUGGGAGUUGUAAGCUGCAAAGGGGAUCAAAAAGGACUGCAGAUUUCUCGUCUCCCUUGGGUGCUCGCUCAUGAUGGUGCUUCAGACUCUACACAUCUCUGGCGGAGCUGAGGCUGAGCACAGAACAUGUUCAGGAGUGAGAGGGCGCUCCCUGCAUUGAGGAUCUGGUCGGCACUUGGAUGAGGGAGAUGCUGCAUCGCCAUGGAGACGGGCUGCCUGCUGUCGCGGCUCCGGCUGAUAUGUGGAUUUGUAUGGAUGAGUACGAGUGUCAGGACUGCAUCAGCACCUCAGUGCUGCGGUGUGAAUAUGACACAAAAAGCUUUUCUUGUUUUCUCCCUCCACCUUCUUCCUCCUUCAUCUCCGCUGAUGACUAAAGCCCUGCCAUAUGUCUCAACCCUCUGGAGCAGUCGGUACGCUUUUAUGAGCAACAUAUCCUCACACAUGACCAUAAUCCGAAGCAGCUUUUGUUGUGUGCGAGUACAGCAGGACCCUGAUUUUCUAAUCAGGCCUGUCUGUGUGUGCGUGACAAGUGUUUCAUAUUAAUUAGCAGCUCCCAUUGGCGAACCUGGGGUGUAAAUCUGCAGACCAGGAUCCACACUACAUCCCAGUAAGAAGAAAAACAUGUGUUAAGCCUUAUACGUUUGCUGUUGGCGAAGGUAAAAUCCUCCCUACAGCGGAAGUGUUUGUGAAGCUCAGUAUUGUUCUGGCUCAGCAGUGGGCAUGUGAGGUGAGACCAAGGAGUGAAAUAACAAGAACACGAUUUAUUUUAGAGGGCAAGGAAGAGCCCAGAUGAUCAGAUUUUACUUCAACAUUCAUCCAACAUCCAUCCGAUGAAUGUUUCAUUCCUAAUCAGCCCAGGUAUGUUGCAUGUUUGAUCAACUGCUGCUUCAUCUCUCUCCUCUUUGCUCCCUCAGACGUGGCGACAGUGUUCUUGAAGUGGCAGACAGCUCUGGCAGUUCUUCUGAAUCUUUAACGGUUGUCCUUAUUUUCUCUCCAAAACCGUCUGCCUUUGAAGUUGGACCGAGGGGAUUGCUCCACUCCAUUUCAGUAUCUUCUAAUGUGUCUCUGAUCUGUGGAGAUGGCAGAGAGUACAUGUUCUCCUCCUUUUUCUUUCUUUCAAGCACCCCACCCUCUCUGUCUCUCUCUCCUUCUGCAGUGCUGAGCACUGAUGAUGUUAAGGGAGGGAAAAAAAUCCAGGAAACCAGCUCACUGAGGAAAAUCCACCUGGCAUAAACUGAGAAACCCGCGUCAUGUGCCGGUGUGUCGCUUUGACGAGGAGGACGAGGGAGAAGAGAGCUUGUGAGUCUGAGCAGGACCUGGAGUCGUGGUCGUAAUUAAGAGGAAUUCAACGUGUUUUAUCUGGUUAUUAUGAAGCUGGGGAGAGAAGAGCUCGUUGUUGGGCCAACGAUAAGCACAAACAGACUGAGGAUUUGGGAGAAGACAGGGAGAACUAUCGAGGCUGACCAGGAGCUGGAUGUUUCCACUGCAGUUUUUCAGGCAGCACCUAUAGGGCAGGAGCAGCUGAGCACUUUACUGAAUGGAGAGAGUGAAUAAAGGAGGAGAGAGUUUCAUCCAAACGGCUUCAGCCCUGGACCUCCCAGACAGACCAGAACCUGUUUCCUGGACUUCCACCUGUGGUCCGAGUCUCCUACCUGCCGCCAGCUGCAUCCAGCCGCAGAUCUUGUACACGGUCCCGGUGCUGCAGAAGAAGAAGAGCGCGAAGCAGCCGAUGCAGGUGAGGACCAGCACCAUGGACAUGCCGAUGAAGAAGGAGGCAGCCUUGAACGCGCCGGACGGGAUGCUGCUGAACUCGGUGAAGCUGCCCUGACAGGUCAAGUCCCGGGACAGCCCGUUCCCGAUGCAGUAGUGGAACAGACCGAAGUAGCCCGCCUGAGGGGUGUCCACGCCGUCCCCGAUCCAGUAGGGCUGGAUGAAGCACACCACGUUGACGAUGGCGAACAGGAUGGUGAAGAUGGCCCACAGGACGCCGAUGGCGCGGGAGUUGCGCACGUAGUUGGUCUGGUAGAUCUUGGCGGCUUCGGACGCGGGCAGCAUGGUGGUGGUGUUGGGGGCCCCGGGGACCAUCCUCCGGUCUGUGAGGGGGGAUCUGGAUCUGUACACCUCAGCAAACUCACAUCUGCCUCAUCUGAACGCUGUAUUCUUUGCUCAACUUCUCCUGCUGGCUCGAUGUCUUCUUCUUCUUAUUCAGUCAGUUGGACACAGAGCAUCGCUGCGCUCUCGCAUCCGUGGCAAGGUCUUCUGAUUUCCCAUUCAUUAGUCUGCAGAAACGAAACGUGCGCUCCGGAAAAAUCAACCUCCACAAACCGUCCGUUCAGAAGACUGAAGCUGCAUCUGUCCUCACGUUUAUGUAAAAAUGAGCCUCCUCCGUUGUCCCGAGUGUCUGUGGAUGAGAAGCGGUCCGUGGGUUUCUCGACACCGACGGAGCAACAACCGCAGCUGAGCUCCGAUUGAAUUAGAGUUGGAGGAUCGCCUCGGAUAUUACAGGGCCAGCCCACAUCCCUUAAUCCCAGGCUGACGUAUUAUCCCAGGAACGCGCGAAACCUUAAACCGACACAUUCAUUUAAAAGAAUAAAAUAGAGAAACGAAUUCCCUCUGAUUCUCUGUAUGAUUGCAGACAGAUGCACUAAAUUAAGCUCCUCCUUGAAAUUCACAAAAGGAAAGGUUUCAGCUUCAUUUUGUUUUAAUAUCUAGACUGUGGACUUUUAUAUAUGAAAACAGUCAAAAUACUGUUUUAAUUGUUAGAAAUUAAUAAAAUAAUUUAGUCUCUGUCGUAGUUCACUGUUUAGUCAGGCCACUGGUUUUCAGACACACAAAUCUGAAAGUGCUUGAGAAGAAUGUAGACAUUAUAUGUAGGUUUGUUUACGUAUACAUUAUGUUAUUUCUGCAAUCUGUAGGUGGAUCACCACUCUUAUUUUUUCUCAACAACACUCAAGCAGAUAUCUGCAGAUAGAUUGCGAUCAAAGCGAAAGUAACGAGUCAAAUUUGUUUUAUUUGUCUUAACGGGUUUCGAUCUUUCGAUCUCUGUCUUAUAAGCGCGAGUCAUUAACCGCUCGCUUACCGGAUAUAACGAAAGAAAUGUUUGAAAGUGAGGCUGUGAUUAGGUGACGUUAGCAUGUUAACGCUAAAUUGAGGCUGCUGAUAGAUUCCUGAUUCAGGUCUGACUGAUAAAUUACCCAUCUACCCCUAUGGAAAGCGAAAAUGCACCAUUUUAACUGUUUAAGCAGAGAGACAGACAAUAGGUCUAACAGAGUGACAAUUUAAAACAGGCCUCGUUUAAUAAAUUUGAAGUAACGAUUGGGAAAUUGAGCGACACCAGAUAGUGAUUUUCACACAGAUAUGUUGAAAACAAAGAGUCAUGAAACAUUGUGUGCAUAAUGUGAAGUCCUUCCGAAGUCCAGUUUUCAUCGUUUUCUUUGCUUUACUUUUCAUGCUAGACUACUUGAAUCGGCUGAAGGAGCCCGAUUGGGUUGUGGGUAACAGGAAGUUCUGCUGUGUAGAAUGCUGUAAUGUUAUGAUUUAAUAUCACCUCUGAUCAGGUAGAUUGAAACGCGUAAGAGUCGGUUGUCAAGGCGACAGGCAUCGUGCAGUACCACUUUCAGCCACAUCACAGAGUCAAUGGGCUGGUGGCGCUGUUCCAACAUGUAUAUAGAGAGCAUGAAACAUGAGCUGCACAAGUUAGGAUCUAUCUAUCUAUCUAUCUAUCUAUCUAUCUAUCUAUCUAUCUAUCUAUCUAUCUAUCUAUCUAUCUAUCUAUCUAUCUAUCUAUCUAUCUAUCUAUCUAUCUAUCUAUCUAUCUAUCUAUCUAUCUAUCUAUCUAUCUAUCUAUCUAUCUAUCUAUCUAUCUAUCUAUCUAUCUAUCUAUCUAUCUAUCUAUCUAUCUAUCUCUGCAUGCCUUACUUGAGCCCUUCGUCCUUUCCUUGAACAACACAGAUUCAGUUUCUUGACCUGUGAGGUAUGGAGUACAGGGUGUGCAGAUGUGUUUCUUCUGCUUCAUGUUCAGUGUGAUGUAACCCAGUGAGGAAAAUGGUUGCAUACUGAGAUUUUUGUAAGCAUUAUUAUGACAAAAAUAUUAUCAAUCACAGUGAUCAUAUAGUUCUGGAUGGGGAUCUUACUGCAGGUAUCUCUGAGUGAGUGCUGUUAAACACAAAGAAAGAAAGAACACAGUAUCAGAUUGACAUAAUUAAUAGUUGUGAUAUUGUUUUACAACUCUACUACAGGGUUCCCACGCGUCCUGGAAAACCUGUAAAAUCUGGAAAAGGAUUGACCAAUUUUCCAGUCAUGGAAAACAUAUGGAAAAUGAGAAAAAAAGGUCAAAUGUCCUGGAAACGAUUAACUUAUCCUGGAAAAAUAUUUAUCCUCCCCCUGUCAAUGCAAAAGUUAUGCGCAUGCAUGUCUGUUGUCACCUUAACUUCUGGGCAACAUUAAGGCAUAUAAUAAAUAUAUAAUAUAUAUAUAAUAGCGCUCAUAGAUAUGAAUACGUAGUUUGAUCUGCAUGCUACGGCGAGGCUAAGCUAGUGGGGGCAAAGUUUCAGUGCAUUCUGUUGAUGUAGACAGCGUGAAAACGGAAACAAGAAGUAUGCCGGCUCACUGUGCUGCAUACAAUUGCACACUGCGUCGUACGAUUGAGACAAGGAAACUUAGAAUAAUUUUUCAUAGGUAAGAAUAGUUUUUGGCUCUUUUUUCAUUAUUAAAUCUUGUUGAGAGCUUCCAGUCUAUGAGAGCUAACUAGUUAGCCACCAGCAAGACACUAAUGCGAGCUAGCAGCUUGACAACCAAAUACCAGACGAUUAAUAGUAGCUGUAGUAUAGUUGUACAAGCAGUAGUAGUAAUACUAAAAGUCCAAGCAGCAGUAGUAGUAUAAACAGCUGUUAGAGUCGUAGAAGUAGUAUCAGCAUUUGUAAUAGUAUUACAAGUUGUAGUAGCAGUGUCAGUAUCAGCAGCAGUAGUUAGUGAACUACCACUACUACUAGUAGUAGUCACAUUUUUAUUACUACCACCAAUACUACCAAUAGUAGUUAUAAAUCCUAACUCAUGUAUAUCCAGAUUACCAUCUAUGUUCUUCCACCAAACCCAUUUUAUGAUUGGGAUUACAGGCAGUUCUUUAGGACUGCUCUCAAAUAAUUGAAAUGUUACUAAACAAGGUUAUACUAAUCAAAUUAAAUAACUUUGGUCUCCAGUGUAUUGGCUAAUUUGGUUCUUUGUACUUAAUUUAUUAGCAUGAUUUCUUUUUAAAUAUGUUGUGUACAGACUUAAUUACUUCUCUGUCUGCUUUUCUUUCUCCAUGUAGGUUUCCCAGAGACUUUGUGUUGAGGAGGAAUUGGAAGCAGCUCUGAGGAGAGAGGGGUUUGCUGCAAAUGAUGAGUGGGUGCUCUGCAGUAGUCAUUUUAAACCUGAUGAGUUUGACAGGGCUGGGCAGGUUUGUCGGCUUAGACCUGGUGUCAUUCCAUGAGUGUUUAACUUCCCGGCUCAUCUUGGAAGAGUACGUGCCAGAAAGACCACGACCAAGCAGCCUUGAGAUCUUAGGCAGCAUCUCCCUGAGGUCCCUCUCUAUCUCCCCACACAUCCACCAACCACUGGAACACAUCUCCAAAGUUCUGCCGGGCCAGCUCAGCUUCCCCUCAGAAGAAGUGCUGCCACCUGCCAGAUGAAGGAGCCUUUUGAGAGGCAGCUGGCAUCGUGAUUGGACUGUACUUUGGUCUGUUCCAAUCCAGCUUCAGCUCCAGAGACGGCAGGCGGGACGAGUCAACGGAGGCCUGGUGGACGAAGGCAUGAAGCUGAGUACAAUCCAGAAAACAACAGAGGAGGAGUGCAGCGACCCAGAGCCAGAACAGAGUAUGUCUCUUAGAAAACAUCAUAGUAUAGCCUUUGGUAUGAAAAAACACCAUAAUAUACAUUGUAGCUUGUACAAAUAACAAGUCAAAGGAAAGAGACAUUCAUUGUAGAAUUGUAGUAAUUGUGGGCUGACUGAUUUACUGAUUAUCAGUAUUUUAUUUUUUACUGAUUUACGGUAAUAAAUACAUUUAAAAAUGGUGCUACUUUGGCUGUGAACCUUAAUCUACCUGUGGUUGCUCUGUCUUCUGGAGUGAUUUGAUUGGUUAUACGUCAUGAAUAAAACUCCUUUAACUUAACAUCUGUAAACAAAACAAAAACGUAUCAACAAAGUUUUCUGUUAGAGUUUGUGUUCUUGUAAGUUUAACUCCAAGAUUUUAAAUACUUUCAUUUACUACAAGUGAAUAUCCAAAUGAAUAUACUCCAGAUGUCUCA